rnacentral:misc_RNA from 1 species
GAUGAAGAACGCAGCGAAAUGCGAUAAGUAAUGUGAAUUGCAGAAUUCAGUGAAUCAUCGAAUCUUUGAACGCACAUUGCGCCCCCUGGUAUUCCGGGGGGCAUGCCUGUUCGAGCGUCAUUUCACCACUCAAGCCUCGCUUGGUAUUGGGCAACGCGGUCCGCCGCGUGCCUCAAAUCGACCGGCUGGGUCUUCUGUCCCCUAAGCGUUGUGGAAACUAUUCGCUAAAGGGUGCUCGGGAGGCUACGCCGUAAAACAAACCCAUUUCUAAGGUUGACCUCGGAUCAGGUAGGGAUACCCGCUGAACUUAAGCAUAUCAAUAGCGGAGGA